GACGAACGCUGGCGGCGUGCUUAACACAUGCAAGUCGAACGGAAAGGCCCUGCUUUUGUGGGGUGCUCGAGUGGCGAACGGGUGAGUAACACGUGUGUAACCUGCCCUUGACUUUGGGAUAACUUCAGGAAACUGGGGCUAAUACCGGAUAGGAGCUCCUGCUGCAUGGUGGGGGUUGGAAAGUUUCGGCUGUUGGGGAUGGACUCGCGGCUUAUGAGCUUGUUGGUUGGGUAGUGGCUUACCAAGCCUUUGACGGGUAGCCGGCCUGAGAGGGUGACCGGGGACAUGGGGCCUAAGAGACGGCGCAGACUGCUAUGGGAGGCAGUAGGGGGGAGUAUGACACAAUGAGAGGAAGUCUGAUGCGGAGACGCCGGGUGCGGGAUGCCGGCUUGCGGGGUGUAAACAGCUUUCGCCUGUGACGAAGCGUGAGUGACGGUAAUGAGUAAAGAAGCACCGGCUAACUACGUG
rnacentral:rRNA from 1 species